CUUAUUGCUCAGUGAUAGGAGGUAGGGGUGCAGAGACAGCCAGGAGGUUUGCCUAGAAGCAGCCACCCUUGAAAGAGUGCGUAAUAACUCACUGAUCGAG